GGGAAUCCAAAGUGCCCCUGCCCCUCAAAGCAGAUGGGAAGGAAGAAGGCGCUGCCCAGCCGGAGAGCAAGUCGAAGGAUAGCUACAGCUCUCAGGGUAUUUCUCAGCCCCCAACCCCCGGCAACCUGCCAGUCCCUUCCCCAAUGUCCCCCAGCUCUGCUAGCAUCUCCUCAUUUCAUGGAGAUGAAAGUGAUAGCAUUAGCAGCCCAGGCUGGCCAAAGACUCCAUCAAGCCCUAAGUCCAGCUCAUCCACCACCACGGGGGAGAAGAUCACCAAGGUGUAUGAGUUGGGGAACGAGCCGGAGCGAAAGCUGUGGGUGGACCGAUACCUCAGCUUCAUGGAGGAGAGGGGCUCCCCCGUCUCGAGUCUGCCCGCCGUGGGCAAGAAGCCCCUGGACCUGUUCCGACUCUAUGUCUGCGUCAAAGAGAUUGGAGGUUUGGCCCAGGUACGAGGGAGCGCAGGGCUCGCGAGGGUUGUCAUAGAGACGCUCACACACGCGGCAGCUUUCUUUGCAUAUACAGCAUAUACAGCAAUUGUUUCUCCGGAGAAAAAGCU
rnacentral:lncRNA from 1 species